GAUCAAUGCAUUAAAAUCUCAUCAAUUCUUUUAAAAUACUGCAGAAGCUUUUACAUAUGAAUUCAUUCAAAUUCAAUUAUAUUCAUGGAUCCAAUACCACCCCCUUAAUCUUUUCACAAUUCACUCUCAAAUCUUAAACUCCAAACUUCAAACACCAUAUUCCAAACUUAAACUUUAUACCUGAAACCAUAAAACCUAAACUUCAAAGUUUAUAUCUAAUCUACAUGAGCUUCCAUUCGAUGACAUAAACCCUGCCAAAGAGUAUUUCAAACCUUAAACCCCAAACCUUAUAUCAUACUUCAAACCCUAAACUUUAAAUACAAAAUCUAAGUUUUAAACUUUAUCCUUAAUCAAAAUUCAAAAUUAACCAUUUUUAAAAUCUAACCUUUAAUUUUAUUCUGUAAAUAUCAUUCUUUUAUGGUUGCUCAAAUAAAUUUGAAAUUUCAUAAUAAUAUAAAGAUUAUGUUUAGAGAUUAAAUUAGCAUGUGUGGUUUGAGGUUCAGAUUUCAUAUUUGAAAAUGUUGACCAAAAAAAUAUUUAAUAUUUGAAACUAAUUUUAUAAAAUAUUAAACUUUGAAUUUAAAAUUAAGAUUUGAGAUUAAGAUAAUAAAAUAUUUUAGUUUUGAGGGUUGUGUUUAAAGUUUAGGGCUUCAACCCUAAUCUUUAAACAUAAACUUUAAAACUUUAUUUUUUUCAUAAUAUAAAUUUAAUCUUAAAUUUAAUCAUUUUAAAAGUACAAUCCAAACUAUAAAUUCUCAACCUCAAACACUAAAUCGUAAAUCUGCACCCUAAAUCUAAUCCCUAAACCCUAAACCUAAAUCUUGCAUACAAAAUUUUAAAACUCUAAUCUUUUAUUAUUUAACUUUAUAUCUUAAAUUUAAUUUUAAAGUCUGAUAUUAAAUCUUAAAUCUAUACACAGAACACUAUAUUCCAAACCUUAAAUUUAAUAUUUUCACAAUUCACUCUUAAAUCUUAAAUUCCAAACUUCAAACACAAUACUCUAAACCUAAACUUUAUACCUCAAACCAUAAAACCUAAACUUCAAAGCUUAUAUCUAAUCUAAAACUAUAUACUUAAUUCAAAUGUUCAAACCAAUAAUUCUAUACCCUAAACUCUAAUUCGUAAACCAUAAUUCCAAUUUAUAUAAUCUAAACAUUAAUAACCAAAUUUAAAUUUUUAAAAUUUAUAUUCAAAUCUAAAAUUAAUUUUUCAAAUUUUAAAUUGUGAAAUCCAAAUCUUUGAAUUUUGUCUCAAAAUAAUUUAUGUAUAUUACAAUAUACUUUGGGUAUUAAAACAAAAAUAGAAUAAGAAUAUAGUUACAAAAAUUUGAUUGGUCAAAACACACUGACCAAUAAUGUACAAGGGCGAGGAUUAGACAUUUUCAACCACAACCGUUGAUUAACCUUAAAUCUAAUGGACAAGGGUGUUUCUUUCUCUCUCCCCUCUUAC
rnacentral:lncRNA from 1 species